rnacentral:lncRNA from 1 species
AAUUUUGUUAUUUUGCCAUACAAAAAUAGUUUCCAUACGUCUGCUCAUAAAACAAAUUUAAUGCAGAAAUCUGUAAAUAACAAUACAUGUACGUUCUUCAUGUAUAUACAACAAGUAUGAAAAACAGUGCAUGUACUAAGAACGGCAAGAAAUGAAUACGUCUGUACCUACAGGUUUGAGCAGUCUGUUCAUAACAGUUAAUCUGCCAGUUAUCAUUUGGCCGGUGGAUUAGGUAUUUUAAAGUUUUCAAUAUAUAUUUUCUUGUUGUUAUUGCAGAUGUUAUUUUCAAGUCAAUUUUAAUCAAGUCAAAAUUUAUUUGUUGUCGAAAGGUUUUAAUAAAUUUGGUAUUAUAAGUUUUGUAUAAUUUUUACCGACAUUCUUUAUAAAAAAAAAACGUCACGAAAAGUUAUCAAAUGGCACAAAAUUAUGUCUUAAUUACGUCGAAAAUAAUUGCAAAUAUUUUAUUUGCUUCAUGGCACUUAACAAUUUUCGCAUGUAUCAUGCUGAUUCGAUGGCACUGUCAGUCAAUCACGAUAAUGCAGUAAACUAUGCACAAUGAAGUCACGCUUCUUGACAGUUUUAGUUGCGUGGCUGCGGUGGUAAGCAUGGUAGUGUAGUUUUAAUAGAUGACGGUGUGGGUAUGGGAUGGGUGUCCCCUCGCAAUACUCUACCCCCUCACUCUUCAAUUCUUAUUUUAUUUUAUUUUUUCAUAUUUGAGAAAAAUGUGUAGGCACGUACCAUAAGUGGCUAUAGAAAGCUACACCAAUGACUUGGUAACCUGUACGAAAUAUCACCUUUUCCAACGUGAAUAAGUCUGAAAGGUUUUUAACCUGAUUUGAACCUUAUGGCAAGGAGAUAUAACCAUACCCUACAUGGACGUGUAGUCAUAUACCAUUCUACCGUUUGAGACCAUGAUCGGGUACCUGGGAUAUCACUAAGGUGAGGGGCAGUUCAUACAAGGUGAACGGGUAGUGUUCGAACUUAGCAUACUUCAUUAUUUUGACGAUAUCUGGAAGGUUUUCGGCCUUGUUCGUGCUCCUGCGACCAAAAGAUACACAUGUGUACCCAUACUAUACAUGGACAUAAUCGGAAGAAGCUCUAGAUGUCAGAGUAGCUCUUACAUGGAUGUAUGACAGGGUGAUUCUAAGUAUAUGUAGACACUAUGUUACGCUCUUACCUGUGAUUCGUUUGAGUCUCUGCAUGUUGGAUAGGACACCGGGCACAUUUUUCAUGCAAUCUCGCCAGGCAUAGACACAGAAAAUGACGUCAGCUAUUCCCGGCAGUACAGAAAAUAAAAGUAGACAGGCUUAACUUGAAAACUGAAAUUCGCAUUUGCAUUUGUCGAUAGUCAGGGGUACACGCGCAGGGGUCACCCCGUCUAAAUGUAUGCGCGUGGACUUCUCUUUGAAAAUACCUGUUUUUUAGCACGACAUGCCAGCUUUUCAUCUACGAAACCAUAAACACAAAUCCCACGGAGCAACGGUGGAUCUAUAUCGAGAUUUUUUCAAAAGGUCCUUUUUGAUGUUGUCUGAAAGUGUCAGUAUAUGCCUCGGAUGUAAGAUAUUUCCGUAAUUGAGAGCUACACACCUAGACAUUUCAGAAAUAACUUUCAAAAUGAAUUUCGUUUAAUAAAUGUUGAUUCUACGGAAGCGUGAAAGGGCCAUCAGACGCUAAUACGUUUUAUUACGUUACAGGAGCGGAAAGGAUAUGAAUGUGUAUAGGCUGCUCUGGUGCCCAUGUUUUUAUUAGUCGAAAUUAUGAGUACAAGCUGGAUAAAUGAACACCCAAAUUGUGAAACUGUUUUACAAUCUGGCCAGCAGUGUCUGACAUAUAGGGAAACCCGACCGUUCUUGGUGUACAUAGCGACCAUGCAUUUUCGCGGAAAAAUAUUGGCAGACGGUCAGCCAAGGAACAUGUAUGCUAAAUUAUUCCAAAAUCUGGCCAACAAAUUUCUACUAUAUUCAUAUAUGGUAAAGAGAAAGAGACCUUGUCCCACAGAAGUCUUUUUCUUUUUCUUUUUUUGGACGAAUCGCAUUUAUUCAUUUGAGAAUUGUAGAAGGUAUUCACCUAAUUAACAUGUACGUAAAAUUAUUUCAAUACCGGAAAAAAGAUUUUUUCAAAAAUCUUGUUGUCACAGCUGCCAAAGUUCUGCCACAGAAUGAAUUCCGUCGCGCAAGUGUGAAACACGACCAUAAGAGAACUUUUCUCAUAAAUUUGGUUGAAAGCAGGCAAGCGGUUUAGGAGAAGUUGUCAAUUGAAGUAAUUGUUGGUGGACGACGGGCAACCGAAGACGGACGUUGGUGACAGACUUUGAGCUCAGCUGAGCUAGAAAAGAAAGCAUAUAUAAAU